GUAGGGAAUAUUGGGCAAUGGAUGCAAGUCUGACCCAGCCAUGCCGCGUGGAGGAAGAAGGUCCUCUGGAUUGUAAACUCCUUUUUUGGGGGAAGAAUAGUUCUCUUGCGAGGGAAUGUGACGGUACCCUAAGAAUAAGCCACGGCUAACUACGUGCCAGCAGCCGCGGUAAUACGUAGGUGGCAAGCGUUGUCCGGAUUUAUUGGGUUUAAAGGGUGCGUAGGUGGUUUGAUAAGUCAGUGGUGAAAGCUGGUUGCUCAACAAUCAAGUUGCCAUUGAUACUGUCGGACUUGAGAGAAGUGGAGGUUCAUGGAAUGGAUGGUGUAGCGGUGAAAUGCAUAGAUAUCAUCCAGAACGUCGAUUGCGAAGGCAGUGGGCUGUACUUUAUCUGACACUGAGGCACGAAAGUGUGGGGAUCAAACAGGAUUAGAUACCCGUGUAGUCC
rnacentral:rRNA from 1 species